AUAAGACAUGCAAGUCGAACGAUCACUAUUGAGUAGCAAUAUUUGGUAGUGGGAGUGGCGCAAGGGUGCGUAACACGUGGGUAAUUUGCCGUAAAGUCUGGGAUAACUUGCUGAAAGGCGAGCUAAUACCGGAUGUGAUUGCUGGGGGGCAUCCUCUGGCACUUAAAGUCGGGGACCGCAAGGCCUGACACUUUUCGAUAAGCCCGCGGCCUAUCAGCUAGUUGGUGAGGUAACGGCUCACCAAGGCUAAGACGGGUAGCUGGUCUGAGAGGACGACCAGCCACACUGGAACUGAGACACGGUCCAGACACCUACGGGUGGCAGCAGUCGAGAAUUUUUCUCAAUGGGGGAAACCCUGAAGGAGCGACGCCGCGUGGGGGAUGAAUGGCUUCGGCCCGUAAACCCCUGUCAUUUGCGAUCAAACCUUGCGACCUAACACGUCGCAAGCUGAUAGUAGCGAAAGAGGAAGGGACGGCUAACUCUGUGCCAGCAGCCGCGGUAAUACAGAGGUCCCAAGCGUUGUUCGGAUUCACUGGGCGUAAAGGGUGCGUAGGCGGUCGGGUAAGUCUAACGUGAAAUCUCCGAGCCUAACUCGGAAACUGCGUCGGAUACUAUUCGGCUAGAGGAAUGGAGGGGAGACUGGAAUUCUCGGUGUAGCAGUGAAAUGCGUAGAUAUCGAGAGGAACACCAGUGGCGAAGGCGAGUCUCUGGACAUUUCCUGACGCUGAGGCACGAAAGCCAGGGGAGCAAACGGGAUUAGAUACCCCGGUAGUCCUGGCCCUAAACGGUGCACGUUUGCUGUAAGAGGAAUCGACCCCUUUUGUGGCGAAGCUAACGCGUUAAACGUGCCGCCUGGGAAGUACGGCCGCAAGGUUAAAACUCAAAGAAAUUGACGGGGGCCUGCACAAGCGGUGGAGUAUGUGGCUUAAUUCGAUGCACGCGCAGAACCUUACCUACCCUUGACAUGUCUAGUAUGGGUUCCAGAGAUGGGAUUCUUCAGUUCGGCUGGCUAGAACACAGGUGCUGCAUGGCUGUCGUCAGCUCGUGUCGUGAGAUGUUGGGUUAAGUCCCGCAACGAGCGCAACCCUCGCCUUUAGUCGCCAUCAUUUAGUUGGGCACUCUAGAGGGACUGCCGGUGAUAAGCCGGAGGAAGGUGGGGAUGACGUCAAGACCUCAUGGCCCUUACGGGUAGGGCUACACACGUGCUACAAUGGUGGUGACAGUGGGCAGCGACACAGUGAUGUGAUGCUAAUCUCAAAAAGCCAUCUCAGUUCAGAUUGUACUCUGCAACUCGAGUACAUGAAGUUGGAAUCGCUAGUAAUCGUAGAACAGCAUGCUACGGUGAAUACGC
rnacentral:rRNA from 1 species